CCUACGGGGGGCAGCAGUGAGGAAUAUUGGUCAAUGGGCGGGAGCCUGAACCAGCCAAGUCGCGUGAGGGAAGAUGGUCCUAUGGAUUGUAAACCUCUUUAGGCGGGGAGCAAUGCCGGGCACGCGUGCCCGGAGGGAGAGUACCCGCAGAAUAAGCAUCGGCUAACUCCGUGCCAGCAGCCGCGGUAAUACGGAGGAUGCGAGCGUUAUCCGGAUUUAUUGGGUUUAAAGGGUGCGUAGGCGGAUUUUUAAGUCAGCGGUAAAAUGUCCGGGCUCAACUCGGGCCGGCCGUUGAAACUGGGGAGCUUGAGUGGGCGAGAAGUAUGCGGAAUGCGUGGUGUAGCGGUGAAAUGCAUAGAUAUCACGCAGAACUCCGAUUGCGAAGGCAGCAUACCGGCGCCCGACUGACGCUGAGGCACGAAAGCGUGGGGAUCGAACAGGAUUAGAUACCCUAGUAGUC
rnacentral:rRNA from 1 species